GUGACUGCACGAGCGGCGUGGUCAGCUGCACGCGCCGGCUCUGUGCCCAGCGGCAGGAGCCGGAGAAGUUCGGGGAGUGUCAGACCGGCACGCGCUGGUUGGACGAGUGCGAUAACCUGUGCUACUGCUCCGAGAGUGGACUUCCCAAAUGCACCCUCAACGAGUGUCCUUAUGGCAGGCAGGAGGGCGCGCGCGUCCACUUCCUGCUCGAGGCCGGCUCGACGUGCACCAACGAGGGCGAGCGAUGGCAGCAGGGCUGCGGCCGCUGCUCGUGCGCCGCC